GAGCGCCGUAUGAGGUGAAAGUCUCACGUACGGUGUGGAGUGGGGGAAAAGGUAGAGAUAACUUCAAAUCCUUACCUAUCACUAA
rnacentral:ncRNA from 3 species